rnacentral:rRNA from 1 species
UACGGGGGGGGCAAGCGUUGUUCGGAAUUACUGGGCGUAAAGGGCUCGUAGGCGGCCAACUAAGUCAGACGUGAAAUCCCUCGGCUUAACCGGGGAACUGCGUCUGAAACUGCGGUCCUUGAGUACUGGAGAGGGUGGCGGAAUUCCUGGUGUAGAGGUGAAAUUCGUAGAUAUCAGGAGGAACACCGGUGGCGAAGGCGGCCACCUGGACAGUCACUGACGCUGAGACGCGAAAGCGUGGGGAGCAAACAGG